rnacentral:lncRNA from 10 species
CCUCCCGGCCCGGUCUUCCACAUGCAGCAGGCCCUCUUCCUGGAGCAGGUUUCAGCUCACACAAAUCUGCACAAACCCUGGUCAUCCUUAAAGCCCAGCUGAAGCACUCUCAUUCCAGGCAGCUGGCCCUAACGCCCUCAUCUGAGAUAGCCACUCCCUGCUCAUGGCUCCUGACAAAUCUUUUCCUUCCUCUGCUCUCGCACAGCUGAACUUCACAAGAACUUGGAGCAUCCCUUUCAAAUGGAAGGGCCGGAUCCUGCAGAUUAGGAGACUGAGUCCCAAAGAGGGGCAGUCGCUUGCCCAAGGCCAUGUGGCUGUUAGUGUUGGAGUCAGAAUUUGAAGCCAGGGAGGCUGAUCUUGGAACACCUGCUGUCAACAGAAACUUCUGACAAAAUACAGAGGACUGCCAUGCCUUCCGGGGUGUUCUCCCAGAGAUGCCCCUUCUGCUAUCCUGCCUGUGCUGCUGCCCUGAUCAUUACUGCAAAUGGCUGGAUUCAUCUUUGUCAAGUUUGCACUUUCACCAAAGUUUGAAUUAACGUCGACAUUAAUUUGCUGAUGAAGCGCCUGCAGUAGGUCAUAUAGCGUGAGCACCUGUGAUUUCCAAGGAAAUUAUUGUAAUGUGCUAAAUGGGAGAUUUAAAGGUUAGUUGUUCCCCUGCAAUCUAUGAACUGUUAUAUGAAAAAGUCAUAACUGAAAUAAUUGAAGUGUCAGAAAGAAAAAAAAGGAUAAGAAAUCCAAUCAAC